rnacentral:rRNA from 1 species
GACGAACGCUGGCGGCGUGCCUAAUACAUGCAAGUUGAGCGCUGAAGGUUGGUACUUGUACCAACUGGAUGAGCAGCGAACGGGUGAGUAACGCGUGGGGAAUCUGCCUUUGAGCGGGGGACAACAUUUGGAAACGAAUGCUAAUACCGCAUAAAAACUUUAAACACAAGUUUUAAGUUUGAAAGAUGCAAUUGCAUCACUCAAAGAUGAUCCCGCGUUGUAUUAGCUAGUUGGUGAGGUAAAGGCUCACCAAGGCGAUGAUACAUAGCCGACCUGAGAGGGUGACCGGCCACAGUGGGACUGAGACACGGCCCAAACUCCUACGGGAGGCAGCAGUAGGGAAUCUUCGGCAAUGGACGAAAGUCUGACCGAGCAACGCCGCGUGAGUGAAGAAGGUUUUCGGAUCGUAAAACUCGGUUGGUAGAGAAGAACGUUGGUGAGAGUGGAAAGCUCAUCAAGUGACGGUAACUACCCAGAAAGGGACGGCUAACUACGUG